rnacentral:rRNA from 1 species
GACGAACGCUGGCGGCGUGCUUAACACAUGCAAGUCGAACGGGUCUGCCCUGUUUUUUGCGGGGUGGGUCAGUGGCGAACGGGUGAGUAACACGUGAGUAACCUGCCCCUCACUUCUGGAUAACCGCUUGAAAGGGUGGCUAAUACGGGGUGUUCUGGCUGUGCCGCAUGGUGUGGCUGGGAAAGAUUCACUUUUGUGGUGUUUUGGUGGGGGAUGGGCUCGCGGCCUAUCAGCUUGUUGGUGGGGUGAUGGCCUGCCAAGGCUUUGACGGGUAGCCGGCCUGAGAGGGUGGGCGGUCACACUGGGACUGAGAGACGGCCCAGACUCCUGCGGGAGGCAGCAGUGGGGGGUAUUGCACAAUGGGCGGAAGCCUGGUGCAGCGACGUCGCGUGAGGGAUGGAGGCCUUCGGGUUGUGAACCUCUUUCGCCGGUGAAGAAGGUCCUGCUCUUUGUGGUGGGGUUGACGGUAGCCGGGUUAUGAAGCGCCGGCUAACUACGUG